rnacentral:rRNA from 1 species
GACGAACGCUGGCGGCGUGCUUAACUCAUGCAAGUCGAACGAAGUGGCGAACGGGUGAGUAACGCGUAAUCAACCUGCCCUUCAGAGGGGGACAACAGUUGGAAACGACUGCUAAUACCGCAUACUGAAGGAGGGGAUUGCGUCUGAUUAGCUAGUUGGAGGGGUAACGGCCCACCAAGGCGAUUAACAGUGGCCGGUCUGAGAGGAGGGACGGCCAAGAUGGGAAGUGGACACGGCCCAGAAGUCGACGGGAGGGAGAAGGGGGGAAUCGUCGGAAAUGGACGAAAGGCUGAAGAAGCAAAGCGGGGGGAGGGAUGAAGGCCUUCGGGUUGUAAAGGUAUGUUAAUCGGGACGCGGUACCGGAAUAGAAAGCAACGGCUAACUACGUGCCAGCAGCCGCGGUAAUAC